GGGUGUCGGGAAAGAUUAUAUCGGUAUGGGAUGGGGUCGCGUCCUAUCAGGUAGUCGGCGGGGUAACGGCCCACCGAGCCUACGACGGGUAGCCGGCCUGAGAGGGCGACCGGCCACAUUGGGACUGAGAUACGGCCCAGACUCCUACGGGAGGCAGCAGUGGGGAAUAUUGCACAAUGGGCGCAAGCCUGAUGCAGCGACGCCGCGUGCGGGAUGACGGCCUUCGGGUUGUAAACCGCUUUUGAUCGGGAGCAAGCCUUCGGGUGAGUGUACCUUUCGAAUAAGCACCGGCUAACUACGUGCCAGCAGCCGCGGUAAUACGUAGGGUGCAAGCGUUAUCCGGAAUUAUUGGGCGUAAAGGGCUCGUAGGCGGUUCGUCGCGUCCGGUGUGAAAGUCCAUCGCUUAACGGUGGAUCUGCGCCGGGUACGGGCGGG
rnacentral:rRNA from 1 species